GGCUCGGACGCGCCGGGGCGGGGGCGCCCGCCGGGAAGCCUCUCGCGCCGCCCCGAAAACAGCGAAAGUGUUUUGGUUUUUUUUUUUUUAACCACAUGCGUUCGUAAUACACGCACAGGUUAGGGAAACGCAGAGACCCUGAAAGUGCCCAGAAGGCGUCCACUCGCUGUCCUUUGGUCUCCUGCUGCCCAUCUCCGGAGUCAGCCGCUGUCCCCUCCUGUGCCAUUUCGGAGGAACUCCGUGUGCAGGCAGCGUUCCUGUGUAUAUGUCGACCCCUCCUUUUCUCGUUCUUUUUUUUUUUUUUUUUUUUCACAAAAUGGUAGCACCACUCGAUUGAGUACUUCACUCAAUACUCAGGCCUGCCCAUUCAUACAUAUAAAGCAACAUCAUUCUUUUUAAAGGUCACAUGAAAUUCCGUUGUACACUUGCACCACCGUUUUCUGAAUGUCUUAAUGAUGGACAUUUAUGUCGUUACUCAUUUUUGCUAACGAUGCUUCAGUGAGUUUUAUAGAACAGACGUCUUUGGUGGGUGUGCUAGUGUGUCUGUAAGGAAAGACCCUAGAACUGAGAUGCUGGGGCAGAGAGUCGUGGUGGGUACUGCCCAAAAGCCUUCCUGAGAUGUACCAUUUAAUUAAUUUUAAUUAUACAAGUAGUACAUGAAUACAUUCUACUUCUGAAGAAAUAGAACGUUACAAACCAGGCAGAAGGCCCCUAAUUACCCCUCCCAUCUCGCCAGAGGAAGCCACAAGUACACCUCUGUGGAUUACUUUUCCACAUCCAUUUCAGUAUACUUGACUCCAUGGACAGGUGUUUUGUUUAUACAGAAAAAUGGUAGCACAUGGCACAAAGGGUGUAUAUAUAGUUCAGAGACUCCUCACUGCUGACUCAGGGACCUGGUACCUCCCUGCUUUCCACUUCCUCCAGUCCCUUCCGGUGGCAUUCUCUGCACCCACGAGCACGUAUAGGAACACUUCUUGGUCAGAUGGUUUUAUCGGCCUGCUGGUGGGCAGCUGCACUGGUCACGCGCUGGGCAUAGCGGGCCCUGCUGUAUGAUGAGUGUUGAGUACUUUCAUCUUGUCACCUCCCAUCUGGUCCAUGCUGCGGACAGUCUGAGAUAAUUUCCCCAUUUUCAGGAGAGGAACCGGAGGCUCUUAGAGGAGCAGGAACCUGCUCCGGUCCCCUGCCUCACACCUUCUACUCCAGCCGUGCUCCAGCCACAGAUGCAUGUGAAGGGGCUCGCGAUCCUCUCUGCUUUCCCCUCCCAUUGUAACUGAUUUCUGUUUGGUCACGUCCAGGUACAUUUUAGGACAUGUUCUCUGAGCCAGUGUAGGUUGGAGGUUAAAAAAUGGGAAGGCAGAUUGUUGGUCUUUUCUUGUGAUAGGUGUAGGGAGUGAAGGACAUGCUUCUGGAGUCUGUGGUGAGGCCUGGCUUUCUCCCUCACUGACCUUGUGACCUCGGAUGUGAUUCUGGACUGUCCACACUCUGGCAGAUCUCAACUGGCUUUGCUUUUCUUGCACGUUUGCCACUUCCCGGGCAAACGCUUCAGGGAGUGUGGUGGUUACUGUUCAGCCAUCGAGGGACUUGGGACUCGGGGAGGCUGCUAGGAAGUGGCCGACCCAGGGCUCUGCUUGACUCCAAAGCUGCCACUUCCCGGGUCACUGUACUCUGCCCUCCCCUAUCACGUGUAUGUUUGUGGUGUUUCUUCAUAGGACAGAAGGUUUCAGGCACCAAAUUAUAACGCCUCCAAGCAUUUGACAAGUCCUUGGUUUAGACUGUAAAUUGUUGAAGAAAUGAAGAGGGAUUUCUCUCCUGUUGUACGAACAUUGCAGCUCUUAUGUUUCUCUCGCCCCUGAGAGGAGACUCUCCUUGUCUUCUUACAGGUGUUAACAUGUGACCUGAGCACAUUGCAGUGGUGGGACCAGGGCUGCUACUCUUCUUCCUUCAAUAGAUGAGAUUACCACCCUCCACUCAGGGAAGUGAGAAGAAAAAGUGGCUUUUUUCUUUUGGGGGGAAAGGAGCUGCAUCUGAGUGCCUGCCCGGGUCCACGCCUGUGGCUACAAACUUGUGUCUGUGCGAUAACGCUGAGUGAUGGGGGUGUAGGGGGGCAUGGGCCCCACUCUUCUGAUGAGAAAACUGAAGCUUGGAAAGUCAAGUUCCCUGGGCAGGCAUUGGAACCUGCUCUGCCGCCCCUGACCCGGGUCUGGUGAAUCCCCUUCGUUAUCCUCAUGUCACAGAGGCCACGUGUGUCUUUACUUGUCCUUCCUCUCCAGACUAUGGGCCCUCCCCUCCUCCCUCUGCUGACCCCCCCACAUGGUGGACAGUCUGCUCCUUUUAUGGAUGUCUUCAGAUCAGGUCAGCCGUCAGCUGAAGACUGUCCGGGCGCUCAUUGCCCUCGCAGUGACCCACGAUCUGGCCUCUGCCCUCCCCUGAGGCUCAUCCAUGGCUCCUGACCUCCAGUCACACUGGCCUUCUCCUACUUAUUGGAUGGGCCAGUGUUGCACCUGCUGUGCCCUCCUCAUUUAAGUCUCAGCUCGAGUGUCACCUCCUUGGAGAGGCCUCCUCUGACCUACUGGCCUAAAGUGUCCCCAGUUCUCUACCGUCAUACUUCCUCAUGUCCGUGUGUUGUUUCCUGCUAGCCCUUGGUGCUGUCUGAUAUGCUUGAUGUGCUUGUUGAUGGCCUCUGUCCUCCACAAGAGCAUAGCAGGAAUUGGGCCAGAGCCUGGCAUGUAGGAGGCACUCGGAAGUCCCAAAUGAAUGAAGCCGGGGUUGGGGGGCGGGUCGAAAGUCACCAGCAGGGCCCUUCUGGGGGCUGACAGCAGAGCCAGGGGAAGAGUGCUGUGCGGUGUGCAGAGUGACUCAUUAGGGCUCUUUGCACAGGGGUGACUUGCUUUGCGGGACAUGGUGGAGAAAGGAAAGCUUGCCCGGUGGCGGCACAGCCUGGGUGGGGCUCUGAGGCAUGAGCCUGCUGUCUUGUCUGUUCAGAGCCAGGGGUAGCUGCCAGCAUUUAGCAGCUGGAAAUGGGCCUGGUGAGUGGGGAGAGGUGUGGAAGGUGAAGGCGGGAUCAUGUAGAGUGGUGAGUGGGGCUUAGAUCGGGCCCUCGGUGCAGAUUUCUUCUAAGGGCCUUGGAAUGCUUUUAAAGUAGGUUUGUGAUGUGAUGAGGCCGGAGCUUUAGAAAGAGGCAAGGUGGCUGAGCAGGGACUCCAGCUGGCAGCGCACCUGUGCCCAGAUUGCUGGGAGGCGGGGCUGCCGCUGCAGUUCCCAGCUCACUGGGAGUGGUUCAGACCCCUUGCUAAAUGCCCUAUCCGAAGCAGAAGGAAAUUAGAGUGACUGUCUGAGUUCCAUGAUGAUACCUCUAAAGCUUAGUGUAUCUUAAAGCCAGCUCUCUUUAAUUCCAUCGCUCCCCCAAAAUACUUUCAUGUACAAAAAGAUUAUUUUUUAACUUAGAGAAAAUUGGGUUUUAUCUCCUUGAUCCCUGUGGCCAUAGAUAAAACUCCUAAGUGGUGCUGGGGGUUAAUAGUGACAACAGGACUUAGCAUGUAUUUAGUGCCAGCAUUGUGACUUUUUUUGUUUGUUUAACCCUCAUAGCAAUCCUGGGAGGUAAGAGGUGAUACUCCCAUGGGACAGAUGCAAAGGCAGAGGCUCAGGGAGGUUAGGGAACACAGAUCUAGAAGAGCUAGUUUGAACCCACGCUGAUCUGCCCUUGGAGCACGGGCAUUCUCAGUGUGAGUGGACAAGGGUGCCCAUCUGCUCCAGGCCCUCUGAUGGUGUUUCUGGGCAGUAUUUUUCUCUGAUGUGUUUUAGAGUAUAAAUCUUUCAGGGUUAGAACUUCAAAAAGAUUCAGUAAUGUAUGUUUUAAAGACUUGGGUGGGGGUGAGGGACUUGGACCCAUCCUCAAUCUCACUCUGGCAGGAAGGAAGAGGUCUGAAAAAUGCUGGUAUCUUGGCUUGGCAAUUUAUAGUCCUCUGGUGGCUGCCACGAUUAACAGUGCAUUGUCUCCCAGUCUUUUGUUCCUGUGUUUAAUGAACAGCAGCUCUUUUGCCAUGACUGUCACCCUGAUCGCUAGCCUCCUGUGCGCCCCCCACGCCCCUCCGUUUAAGCGGUGCUUCCUGCGAGGUUUGGGCCCUCUCUGGACCCCCCUGGCUGGAGCAGCUGAUCUACCACAGCCUUGCAAGUGUGACUCAGGGCUCCUAGCUUUGGAGCUCUCUGUGCUCGUGUGACAACAUGGAGAAGCAUGGUCCCUUGGGCCGUUUUAUCCAAGAGUGCGCCUGCAGUCUGUCUGAGAUGCUCUCUUUGGACCCAUGAGACAGGUUCAUGUGCGAACGACCGUGUGUUUUCCACCAGGUUUUUACACUGCUGUUUGGGUAUCUGCGCUUAGUCCCCAGCAGGUGGUGUGGCCCAAGCAGAAACGACAAACCGGAGGCCUGACCACCCCAGGAAUAUGGGUGUUUUUCUGAUGCAAAACCAACCAAACAAACAAAAAAAGACACUCUGGUUUUCUUAGCCCCUAGUCUUUUAAUGAAUCUGUCCAGAAAUGCAUUGUGUUGGGCCUCCCUGGUGGCGCAGUGGUUGAGAGUCUGCCUGCCGAUGCAG